AAAAAUGUUUGGGGGGCUGUGCCAUCGCAUAUGCGAUUAUGCGAUUGCGUAAGCGCACAAACCCCUUGGGUCGCACAGGAUCAUUUAUGCCAUUUGACAACAUUGCCCGAAACUUGUGUUUGUCGCCGAUGGCUUGAUCACUCUUGAUAUGGUGUGGUCCAUGGUGCCCUAAACCAUUGGCUUGACCAUUGGAGUGUUGCAAAAAUCAGGACACUCAUUUGAAGUUUCAGUCUUAAUCUUUGGGAGCGAGCAUUUUGUAGAUCCAAGCCUUUCAUAAUGCCCCUGCUGAUGAUAUGAAUGUGUAUGCAUGGAUGUGAAAAUGGAUAGGCCUCGCCACGACGCCAUCUUUGUUAAAAAACCUGUGCAGUUGUAGGUACAUGUGUUCGUUUCUGUGUGCUUCAUUUAAAGAAAAAAAAAAAUCUGUAUGGCAUCAAGCACAGGUGUUCGUUUCUGUUUGCUUUGUUUUAAAAAAACCUGUAUGCUAUCAUGAUCAAGCAUUUGUUUGUCUGCUUCUUCCGCUCUUUCCUUCUUCCGCCCUUAUCUCUUGGUACACAUCCACUGUUGUAGGUGCAGGCUGGUACAAAGAAAAAAUUGUUGAGGAAGUCCAACUCCAUGAAGUCAUAUGCCUUUUCUACAUCAAUCUUGAGCAAGAAGUCCCUGUUACUCCUAUGAUACUCACUAGUGCAUUCAUAGGCAUCUGCCAAUUCCUUGGGGAUGUUGUACCCUGCUACAAAGCACUUCGCACUGGCUAGAUGAUGAAAUAAAGAACUUCAGAAAGACUGAUUAGGUUGGAAGUCUUGGACCCCUUUCACACCCUAGAGGAUUAAGAAAAAGAAAAGAAAAGAAAAGAAAAAGGCAUUUUUGUCACUACUCAAUACUGUCAUCCAAAAGAACUCAAACACCUGGCAUAACCCUCCCGAAUGAAAUUCUAACUGGUUCGAUCGAAGAUCUUGGCAAAUCAGUCGUAUCCUGGAAUGCAUUCACACUCUGGAUCCAUGCUGAAACUUUCUUUCAUGGCCAAGGCCCCCCCUGUGAGGCUAUCAAAUGACAAACCAUCAAGAGUCGGUCUUUUCUAGUUCAUGCCUGUGUACAGAUUCAGGAAAUAACAUAGAACGUGCUUGCAGAUAUGGGUCUCCUCUAAUAGGAUCUCUCUCUCUUAGUGCCAGUAAUGUGUAUAAAGCUGUUUCCUCUAAUAUGGCUCGUCUCCUUUCAUGUUCAGAUCUUUUAGAGCAAUAUAGUGAAAGUAGAGCUGUUUUGAGUUCGUCUUUUACCAGUUGCUCUGCAAGACUUCGUUCAAGAAGGACAAUGUCAAGAGCUGUGUUCAGGCUCUCCUUAACAAAAUGCUCCUCUCAGGAUUGGUUAUCAGUUUCGUCCCUGUUUUUAAGAACCUCAAUCUUCCCUAACAAUAGACUCUUUUUGGUGGUGUCCCCAAAUGCAUCUUUGCUCCGGAUUAACUUCUUUUCUUUUGUUUGUUAUUGGUUGGUGUUGCUUUGUUUGCUUGUUCUUUGAUUGAAUAAUAUUUCAUCUUUCAAGAAAAAAAAAAAAAAAACUUCACCAUAAUGAACCUUUGCCUCGCUUUUCCAUCAACCAAUAAAGAUGUCCACCACUUUUUAACUGAACUCACGAACUCAGGGUGUUCAGGCCACAAAUUCCUUGAACUGUAACAGCAACUGUCCUCAGAAGUCAGUCCACAUAUGGGGGCGAAGUCAGCCUGUGGUUGGAGAAAGAACUGCUUACCCAGCCUGCAUUAAUCAGAAACCUGUCUAAACAAUUGAUAACAGGGCCUUCUUGAUUGUUAAGACCAAAUAAAUCUGGCACUGUUCAUUGGCAGAUCGACAUCCCUCUCUCUCAACAAUAUCUGCUAUCCACGUAUGCCAGUGGUUAUCGGAGAUCCCCCCUCACCUCUUCUCAUGCAAGUACCUGAUCACAUAUACAUGACUCCCAAUGUGCUAGGGGAGAUUCCCUCGAGCUAAAUUUGGUCAUUAGUUAUUUUGGAAAUCUGGGCCUGUUGGACUCUGAAUGGUAGCUGUAGGGUGGAUGAAAUCAUAUUCGGAACACGAUUCACUUAAUAUCAUGAAGAGGGCGAGAGAUGAGCAGAUCCAAGCGAAAAGAUUAGAGACAGAAAUGGAUGAGGAAUUUACUCCCAAUUAAUCAUGGAGCUGAUUGGGAGGCAGACAAUGAUGACAAUGACCUCCUAUAUAGUUGAUUUGGUCUCAAUACCUACGUCUGUAAUUUCAUUUAAUUCUGUUUUCUUGUUUACUUGUGCUUUAUUCUGCCAAAGUCUUCAAUUAUUGCUAUGUCUUGUGAAUGUUCUAAGUGCAUUAACCGUAGAUGGUUUAUUACGCCCUUCUUUCUGAUAUUCUUAAGCCUGUUACUAUUGAAAUAUCUGAUUGUGGUGGCUUUUGCCCAUUUACUGAUACUGAUAUUAUUUCACACAGUAUAUGGCAACCGGUAUCUAUUUUGCAUUUUUUUUUCUUCAUUGUUUGUAUCCAAGAUUUGGCCCAUUUACUAUACGGCUAAUAUAUGGGAAUUGGCAUGCUUAUUUCAGUGGAAGUGGAUUGUGUCCGGUCCCCGCCUGUCUCUAGCAAGGAACAGGCAGAUCUGUGUGGGGCCCACUGUGAUGUAUCUGUUUAUCCACACCAUCCAUCCCUUCUCUCAGAUCAUUUUAAGGUAUGAGCCCAAAAAUGAGGUAGAUUCAAUGCUUAAGUGGACCAAUCUGCCUCAUUUUUUGGCUCAUACCUUAAAAUGAUUUGAGAGAAGGGAUGGCCGGCAUGGAUAAACAGAUACAUCACGGUGGCCCCCCACACAGAUCUGCCCGUUCCUUGCUAGAGACGAGCAGGGGCCGGACGCAAUCCGCUUCCAGUUUCAGUAUACUCAUUCUUAAAGAAGUAAUUCUUUUUUAUCAUUUUUUUUAAUAACAUGUAUGAGCUCCAGUGUUGCUUGCCUAUUUCACAACUCACAAGUCAAUAUUGUAGAAAAAACUGAUUUUUCCAACAUCUGUUUGUCUUUUUAGUUUGAACCUCUUUAGUCAGCCAUGUUUUCUGUUUGGGGUUCAGGUUUUCUUACUAUAUGAUGUAUGAGCUCAUGUUUUGAUAAAUGCUUUAAAUUUCAGGUCCGAGUGGAUGAAGAUGCUGGUAGGCAUGGGCCAUAUAAUUGCAUUCAUAAGCACUGUUAUCAGCCAGUAAUUUCUACCCUAUAUACAAACUUGUGUAAUACAAGUAUGAAAUAGCUUUCUACUUGUACCAUUGAGCUUUCUGGGCUACUUUGUCAUGUAAGUAAUUUUCGUUCAACACUGGUUCCUGACACUUUUCUGGUUGGUUGAACUUCUCUAAUCUUAGUGAGAGAAGCAGUGCUUAAGCAAACAUUCUACAGGCUUUAUGUUUGUAAGGGAGGAUUAGAACA